rnacentral:rRNA from 1 species
AGAGUUUGAUCAUGGCUCAGGACGAACGCUGGCGGCGUGCUUAAUACAUGCAAGUCGAGCGAGGUUACUGUUUUGGAUCCCUUCGGGGUGAAGAAGCUUUAACCUAGCGGCGGACGGGUGAGUAACGCGUGGGUAACCUACCCCAAGGUCCGGGAUAACAGCGGGAAACCGCUGCUAAUACCGGAUGCCUUUACCUUGGGGCAUCUUGAGGUAAAGAAAGGCAACGCUUUGGGAUGGGCCCGCGUCCCAUUAGCUAGUUGGUGAGGUAACGGCUCACCAAGGCGACGAUGGGUAGCCGGCCUGAGAGGGUGGACGGCCACACUGGGACUGAGACACGGCCCAGACUCCUACGGGAGGCAGCAGUAGGGAAUAUUGCGCAAUGGACGGAAGUCUGACGCAGCGACGCCGCGUGAGCGAUGAAGGUCUUCGGAUCGUAAAGCUCUGUCCUUGGGGAAGAAGGCGAAAGCUUGACGGUACCCAAGAAGAAAGCCCCGGCUAACUACGUGCCAGCAGCCGCGGUAAU